AUGAGCUGUGGUGAUGUUAACCAUGUAUGCUGUAGGGUUCAAUGAUGAAUCAAAACAUGCACUACCAUCUGAUCUCAU
rnacentral:snoRNA from 1 species